GACGAACGCUGGCGGCGUGCUUAACACAUGCAAGUCGAACGGCAGGGCCGCUAUCGGGUGGUAUUCCAGUGGCGAACGGGUGAGUAAGUCGUGAGUAACCUGCCCUUGACUUUUUGGUAACUUCAGGCAACUGGGGCCAAUAGCUGAUAGGAGCUCCUGCCGCCGGGUGGGGGCUGGAAAGCUUCGGCGGUUGGGGAUUUACUCGCGGCGUAUUCGCUUGUUGGCGGGGUAGAGGCUUACGAAGGCGUCGACGCGUAGCCGGCCUGAGAGGAUGAUCAGCCACACUGGAACUGAGACACGGUCCAGACUCCUACGGGAGGCAGCAGUGGGGAAUAUUGGACAAUGGGCGCAAGCCUGACCCAGCCGGACGGCGUGGGUGAAGAAGGCCUUCGGGUGGGAAAGCCCUCUUGUUGGGAAAGAAAAGCAGCAGGUUAAUACCCCGCUGUUCUGACGGGACCCAAAGAAUAAGCACCGGCUAACUUCGUG
rnacentral:rRNA from 1 species